ACCUACUGCUAGUCUGCGGUUGUUCUUAUGGCGGCAGCGGUGACAUUCCUUGGUGAGGAAGAAACUGAUACAUGAUUAAACAGCUCUUUCUUAGUCAAACAGAAAGCGGGCGUAUGUGUGACAAACACAA